GAUGAACGCUGGCGGCGUGCCUAAUACAUGCAAGUCGAGCGAACAGACGAGGAGCUUGCUCCUUCGACGUUAGCGGCGCACGGGUGAGUAACACGUAGGUAACCUACCUAUAAUACUGGGAUAACUUCGGGAAACCGGAGCUAAUACCGGAUAAUAUUUCGAACCGCAUGGUUCGAUAGUGAAAGAUGGCUUUGCUAUCACUUAUAGAUGGACCUGCGCCGUAUUAGCUAGUUGGUAAGGUAACGGCUUACCAAGGCAACGAUACGUAGCCGACCUGAGAGGGUGAGCGGCCACACUGGAACUGAGACACGGUCCAGACUCCUAGGGGAGGCAGCAGGAGGGAAUCUGCCGCAAUGGGCGAAAGCCUGACGGAGCAACGCCGCGUGAGGGAGGAAGGUCGUCGGAUCGUAAAACUCUGUUAUUAGGGAAGAACAAACGUGUAAGUAACUGUGCACGUCUUGACGGUAACUAAUUAGAAAGCCACGGCUAACUACGUG
rnacentral:rRNA from 1 species